rnacentral:misc_RNA from 1 species
AACUUUUAGCAAUGGAUCACUAGGCUCCAGCAUCGAUGAAGAACGCAGCGAAACGCGAUAGGUAUUGUGAAUUGCAGAAUUCAGCGAAUCAUCGAAUCUUUGAACGCACAUUGCGCCCGCCGGUAUUCCGGCGGGCACGCCCGUCCGAGCGUCGCCUCAACCCUCGCGCUAUACGCGCGGUGUUGGGGGCUCAGCCUCGCGGCUGACCCCCGAAAUACCUCGGCGCCGACGCCGCGCACCCUCAGCGUAUUAACUUACCGCUGGCGGGUCGCGGCGCGCGGCCGCCUCGCACUACCCUACACGGAACGACCUCGGAUCGGGCGGGGACACCCGCUGAACUUAAGCAUAUCAAUAAGCGGAGGCU